rnacentral:rRNA from 1 species
UUUGGUCUUAAUGCUAGUGGAUGAGAGGAAAACUCCAUAGUUAAGCGUGCUCAGGUGGGAGUAGUACUAGGAUGGGUGACCUUCUGAUAAGUCUCCACCGAGGCAACAA